rnacentral:tRNA from 1 species
GGAGAGGUACCGAAGCGGUCGUAACGGGGUCGACUCGAAAUCGAUUUUCCGGCUAAUAACCGGGACGGGGGUUCGAAUCCCUCCCUCUCCGCCA